rnacentral:rRNA from 1 species
UACGGAGGGAGCUAGCGUUGUUCGGAAUUACUGGGCGUAAAGCGCACGUAGGCGGCUUCUUAAGUCAGGGGUGAAAUCCUGGAGCUCAACUCCAGAACUGCCUUUGAUACUGAGGAGCUUGAGUCCGGGAGAGGUGAGUGGAACUGCGAGUGUAGAGGUGAAAUUCGUAGAUAUUCGCAAGAACACCAGUGGCGAAGGCGGCUCACUGGCCCGGUACUGACGCUGAGGUGCGAAAGCUAGGGGAGCAAACGGG